rfam:Pseudomonas sp. BAY1663 contig000079, whole genome shotgun sequence.
GCCGGUAUAGCUCAGCUGGUAGAGCAACUGACUUGUAAUCAGUAGGUCCCGGGUUCGACUCCUGGUGCCGGCA